UUUUGCUGACCUGGUUGGAUGAAAGGUUGAUAAUUAAUCCCAAAAGUUAUGGAACCCUUGUGAGAAGAGGCCUUUCCUUCUUCUACCUUUAAUUUCCCUUCUCCUUUAUUCGGCGCUUCGUGUCCCCAAAACUGACUUUGAAUUUGAUAAGAUUUGGACUAGUCCUCCCUUUCCGACACAUGGUUUUCAUGUGUCUUGUCCAUGGUUUUCAAUUGCCCUCUACUGAAAAUUAAGAUCAGUGUCCCUAGCCAUCACGAGCCAAGAAGAGAGGGGGAGAGAGAGAGAGAGAGAUGGUGAGAGUUUGGAAAGAGACGAUAAGAGGAGAUGGAAAAAUCUAUGGUGAAGACUUGAGCAGUGCAGCUUUACUCUUCUGGGCUGCAAUCGUCACUCUUUCUAUAAUUGCAUCUGUCAUUUUAUCUUGUGCCGGUGGUGCGUCGAAAGACAAAGCCUCUACAACUGAUACUUAUGGUACAACAUGUGCUGGGUGCGGUGCGGGCUGUGGUGGAUAAGCUCGAGUUCGCUGCUGUCUCCAUGGCUUGUCGGCACAGCAUAAGAGGCACAAGAACAUAUUCACUUCUGCAAAUUAUCAACGGUGCAGUAUACCUUCCAUUUACCAAGUUCCGUUUCUAACAAGUUUCAAUCAAAAUUUGCAUUUUAGUUAAGAAGAUAAGGUAGUUAAUGCAACAAUUCCAGAUUUUCGUUUUUUUUUUUUAUGAGCUGUCUUCAUUUUUAUUUAUAUUACAAGCACCUUAGAUCAUGGCCGAUUCAUGAUUAAAAAAUAAACAAAGAUAUGUAAUUGCAUUAGCCAUUGUUAUGACGAAAUGAAUAAUAGCCAGAGAUUUCUUACCCAA